CACUGACCGUGUAAAUGUAGCGUAAUCAAUAGCCAAUUAAUUGUUGGCCGGUAUGAAUGGCGUCACGAAGGCCCUACUGUCUUAAGAGGACUCUCCAUGAAAUUGAAUUCGUAGUGAAGAUGCUACGUCCAUAUUGUAAGACGAAAAGACCCCAUUGAGCUUUACUAAAAUCUUACACGGCUUAAUUAAAUAACGAGUUAAACGUGGGAUUACCACCCUUUUAUUUUAAGAGAGCUAACAUCGCAAGGAUAAUGUAAGUUGGAUAGUUUGGUUGGGGCGACCACCUUUUAAAAGGUAACGAAGGUGAGCUUAAGGUCGAUGGCCUGACUGCAAGGGGGACACCCCGAGCCGACACGUCAAAGACGUGGGCUAUUGUGACCCGUCAUCUUAGCGUGGAAUAGUUGACGAUCAACGAAUAAAUGCUA
rnacentral:rRNA from 1 species